rnacentral:rRNA from 1 species
GGUUCAGAACGUCGUGAGACAGUUCGGUCCCUAUCCGUCGCAGGCGUAGGAAAUUUGAGAAGACCUGUCCUUAGUACGAGAGGACCGGGAUGGACGUACCUCUGGUGUACCAGUUGUGCCUGCCAAGGGCAUGGCUGGGUAGCUAUGUACGGAAUGGAUAAGCGCUGAAAGCAUCUAAGCGCGAAGCCAACUUCAAGAUAAGAUUUCCCACCGCAAGGGUAAGACCCCAGAAAGACUAUCUGGUUGAUAGGUCGAAGGUGUAAGUGCAGCAAUGUAUUUAGCUUAUCGAUACUAAUAGGUCGAGGACUUGACCAAU